CAAACAGCUGGUAAUUACCGUCUUUGUUUCGUGUUUGUUUUGUGCAAUUAUACCACUUACAUCUCAACUUAAAUGCGAGACGAACAGGACUGACAAAUUGUAAAAUGCCUGUCGAAUGCAUGAAUAAUUUCACUUUGCCUUUGCGAAAACUCUUGCGCAAAUACCAAGCGUAUUUCGUUUAAACGGCAUUAAAAACUUUUGUAGAUAGCUAACGUUGCUUCUGUUUUAUUUCAGAUAGAGUUUUGAUGAGUUGAAACGUUCAAACGUAGACGAAAUCUGUGGACAAGAUCAAUUCAACAAAGCCGAAAGUUACGUUCGGAAUUGGUCAAAUUGUCUCGCGUUGGCUUUGAAGAGAAAGCAAGCUUAGCUUCUCUUCCCCAGAAACAGUGACUUCGUGGACAGAACAGGUAUAAAAAUACACCGUUCGUGUUUGGUUUGUGCUUUUGCACGACAUAUAUCUCUACCGAAAUGGGAGACGAGCAGUCGAGCAGAACAAAUGUUGAAACACGUGGUCGAAUUUGCUUUCGCCUUCGUUCGCUUUAGCGAAAACUCUAGCUCAGAUUUUCUGACAGUUUUAGUUGUAAAAUAUACUUUGAAACCCUUCCAAGAUAACUAACGUUGCUUUUUUGUAUUUUAGGGUGGAGUUUCAGCGAAUUAAGCUAUUUUACACGCCGAAACCCAAGCCGUAACCUGUUCUCAUUGGAUGUAAGUAUGACUGAACAAUAGAAUAUAGUUUUAUUAAUACACCAAAAUGAUUAUUUGCAAAUAUUCAAAAUAACACUAACGGGCGGACCAUUUGAAAUCCCAGGAAGUUUGGUGGUGGGUGACAAUUUGCCGCCCAAAACGUGCAAGCAAACAGGACCGUAACUUGGGAGGGGGGCGUGUGAGCUUGUUUUGUCUGACCAAAAGGGUGUGGCAAAAGUCUUGGCCGACUGACUUUUAAGUUGCUAGUCUUGCUAAUUUCAAAAUAUUUCUUUUCUCCAAAUUUUUUCAGUAAUAUUUUUGUCAUUUUUAGUGAUUUGUCGCUGAAUUACAUACAUUUUGCCUGACAAGUGUGUCAUUAAAAUUGCCUGACAAAACUGCAAUAUUACAACAUUGAGGGUGUGUGGCCCCCCAGGAGUUACGUCCUUGCAAGCAAACAAAAACUUUUUUCUUUUAAUGUUUUACAAAAAUAAAUAUAGCUUGCACCAUUUUUUCCCCUGAAUUUUAAUACUGACUGUGCAUGGGAUUUUUCUUUGCACUUUCUUUUUUUUUGGGGGGGGGGGCAGUGUAAUUACCCCCCAUCCUUGGAUUUCUAAUGGCCUGUCCCUAAUAGCAACACACAUGAUAUAUAUUUGUGACCUGAAGUGCAUUGCAUCUGCCAAAGCUUUUUCUUUCAAUUAUAUUUAUAUUUACAAUGUUCAAAAAUCAUAUCACACAAUAGGUUGGACACUCAUUCAAUGUCAUUUCAACAUAUUUUUUUGCUGGUCGUGCACAAACAAACAUGUUGUCAUUGAACACAAAAAUGAAAUGUCAUGAUGGUAAUGAAAUCUGGUUAACUUAUUAUUUUCUCAUAAUCUUUUUUCAGGUUGUAUUAUAUCCCUCAAAUCCCGAGGGUUUUUUUUCCAAAAUGUGUGGAAAAUAUAUAGAAGACAAAAUGAAGAAGAAUUAUUGAAGAAUUUAAGAUGAUAUUGUAACCGACACACCCAGCCGACACAGAAGCUCCGCCGAGUUAACACAGCCAAAGACGAGGCAAUAUAUCCAGCGUAUCCUUUAAAGUGAUAAAUACUAUAGUGAAAAUAUUGCCUCCCAUCGGAUUCACAAGAAAGAAGAUGUUGUAAGGUUUGAUUAGUCUGGUGGUCAAUCAAUGUGCAUGCUAGGUUUAGGAUAUACAAUUUCACUUAUACAGAGUUUGGUAGAUGAGUGUGCUCUAUAUGUAUACUGGACUAUCAUCUCUGGUGAAAUCCUGAACUAGUAUCUUAGACUUGUCUUCUGUUAGAAGAUUAGAGUCUAAGAUGAUAGCUCAGUUGCAUAGAGGCGUCGGUCGCGCUUGCGCUCAGUUCAUGUAUAGUUUUGACCACCAGAAAAAUUUGUAGGUUAAUGUAGUUCGGCAGUGUUUCGCCUUCAGUAUAAAACGGUUUAUCCGAAUCAGAUGGAAUUUUUGUGCAUAUAAUUUGGUCCUUAUGACCUUUGAGUUCAUUAGUUCAGUGAUUCGGCUAUGGGGUUCGGUUAUAAUUCGGUCAUUGAUUGGGUCAUCUGGACCUUUAAUUAUAUGCACAUGCAUGAGAAUUGAUUUCUAUAAAUAUAUUGAAUCGCAUUUGAUCCGAUUAUGAUUGCUCGCAUGCUUAGGUUGAUAAAAUAUAUAAAUUUAUACAUGCAUGGGAUAAUUAGUUAUAGGUGAAAAAAUAUGUUAAUAAAAUAUGUAAUGAUAAAAUUAUAAGAGAACAUAUUAUAGGUAUACAAAUAACAAAUGCAAACCAUAUAUGAAAUCACAUAAUCCUGUAGGUCUUUAACUUUAACUCUUUAUUGCCUUGAAAAUGCAUGUUGUGCCUUUUUAGUUCAACAUGUAUGACUGGGCAUCUAUUCCUGCAGUUCUAUAUUUAGGCUGCGCAUUCUGUAUAACAAUUAUUUUGCUUCAGUUAUAUAAAACACACACGCUUUGUAACACAUGUAUUACUAUAGUGUAGUUUUUUUGUUUAUUCAAUAAAACUUGUAUCUGUUGUUGUUUGUCUCUUCUUUUGGAUAGUCUUGUAUAUAACAAUAAUAACAAAAUGAUCAAAACAUGCAUGUACUUGCCCAAAAAUAAAAUCUAAAUAACCUACAUCUGAAUCCUUCAAGUCUUUUUCGGCUUCUGUG
rnacentral:lncRNA from 1 species